AUAUAUUUUUGUGUUGAAUCCUAUGGAUCCUAGCCACUUUCCUUUUUUUUUUUUUUUUUUGUCUCUUUACUUAUGGAAUUUGUUAUUUCUCCUUCAUUUUCUAAAGGUUUUUUCAAGGCUUUAACAGAAGUUUGGGUAUAAUUAUUAAGAAUCACUAUAGUAUAAGCACAGUCUAGAAACCAAUUAAAUUUUCUCUGUGUUACAUAUCAAUUUGGUAAGGACUAUGUAAUUCCUGCCAUGAGGUGGAAAUACUGGAUUCUUCUCUUGGCCCUAAGUUUCGUUUAUUGACCUGUUGUUGGUCCAUCUCUCUAGAACUCUCGGCUGAGCUUCAGGCCUUACAUUCAUAUCUGACUUCAGCGAUUUGUCUUCUUGUCUCAAUAAGUGUAAGAAGUGGGUAGAGGAUGGAAAGGGAGAAGAAAGGAUUAAAGUUAAGCCUGAAUGUUUCAUUCUCCACCUUAACAUGACCGCAUCUACUAAUAGCCAAUAAAAUGAAUUGGCCUCUCUACUGGGCUGCUUGACCUUCCUCAUGACAUGGCAGUUGGUUUUUCCCAGAGCAGAUAAGAACAACCAUGAUUCAAUAUGUGAGUAGGCUAUACAGGAGACAGGAACCAUUGGGAGCCAUUUUGAACACUCUCUACUACAGGAUCAAAAGCAAAUAAUUACAAAACAGUACAUCAAUGCAACAAUGGCAUUAUAUGUAAGAAUUUUGGAGGGAAAUCACGAGAAAACUGAAGACAUCUGUCCACCAAGAAAAGCACAAAAGCUAUAAACUGAAGAUAGAUAUAUUUUCAACUAACUGCAGUCUUCAAGUAAGCAGCUGUUAUUUUAAAAAGCAGAAGUAGAGAUACAGAGCACUACGAUCUCAAAUAGAAUUGAGAUUUAAAAUUAUGCAUAAGGAAUUAACAUACUUUAAUCCUAAAGAAAGAGAAAAAAUAUAUUAAAGGUCAUCGUGACUAGAACC
ensembl:lncRNA LINC02378 long intergenic non-protein coding RNA 2378